rnacentral:rRNA from 1 species
UACGAAGGGGGCUAGCGUUGUUCGGAAUUACUGGGCGUAAAGCGCACGUAGGCGGACAUUUAAGUCAGGGGUGAAAUCCCAGAGCUCAACUCUGGAACUGCCUUUGAUACUGGGUGUCUUGAGUAUGGAAGAGGUGAGUGGAAUUCCGAGUGUAGAGGUGAAAUUCGUAGAUAUUCGGAGGAACACCAGUGGCGAAGGCGGCUCACUGGUCCGAUUAC